UUGAAGAGUUUGAUCAUGGCUCAGAUUGAACGCUGGCGGCAGGCCUAACACAUGCAAGUCGAGCGGUAACACAGAGAGCUUGCUCUCGGGUGACGAGCGGCGGACGGGUGAGUAAUGUCUGGGAAACUGCCUGAUGGAGGGGGAUAACUACUGGAAACGGUAGCUAAUACCGCAUAACGUCGCAAGACCAAAGUGGGGGACCUUCGGGCCUCAUGCCAUCAGAUGUGCCCAGAUGGGAUUAGCUAGUAGGUGGGGUAAUGGCUCACCUAGGCGACGAUCCCUAGCUGGUCUGAGAGGAUGACCAGCCACACUGGAACUGAGACACGGUCCAGACUCCUACGGGAGGCAGCAGUGGGGAAUAUUGCACAAUGGGCGCAAGCCUGAUGCAGCCAUGCCGCGUGUAUGAAGAAGGCCUUCGGGUUGUAAAGUACUUUCAGCGAGGAGGAAGGCGUUAAGGUUAAUAACCUUGGUGAUUGACGUUACUCGCAGAAGAAGCACCGGCUAACUCCGUGCCAGCAGCCGCGGUAAUACGGAGGGUGCAAGCGUUAAUCGGAAUUACUGGGCGUAAAGCGCACGCAGGCGGUCUGUCAAGUCGGAUGUGAAAUCCCCGGGCUCAACCUGGGAACUGCAUUCGAAACUGGCAGGCUAGAGUCUUGUAGAGGGGGGUAGAAUUCCAGGUGUAGCGGUGAAAUGCGUAGAGAUCUGGAGGAAUACCGGUGGCGAAGGCGGCCCCCUGGACAAAGACUGACGCUCAGGUGCGAAAGCGUGGGGAGCAAACAGGAUUAGAUACCCUGGUAGUCCACGCCGUAAACGAUGUCGACUUGGAGGUUGUGCCCUUGAGGCGUGGCUUCCGGAGCUAACGCGUUAAGUCGACCGCCUGGGGAGUACGGCCGCAAGGUUAAAACUCAAAUGAAUUGACGGGGGCCCGCACAAGCGGUGGAGCAUGUGGUUUAAUUCGAUGCAACGCGAAGAACCUUACCUACUCUUGACAUCCAGAGAACUUAGCAGAGAUGCUUUGGUGCCUUCGGGAACUCUGAGACAGGUGCUGCAUGGCUGUCGUCAGCUCGUGUUGUGAAAUGUUGGGUUAAGUCCCGCAACGAGCGCAACCCUUAUCCUUUGUUGCCAGCGGUCGGCCGGGAACUCAAAGGAGACUGCCAGUGAUAAACUGGAGGAAGGUGGGGAUGACGUCAAGUCAUCAUGGCCCUUACGAGUAGGGCUACACACGUGCUACAAUGGCAUAUACAAAGAGAAGCGACCUCGCGAGAGCAAGCGGACCUCAUAAAGUAUGUCGUAGUCCGGAUUGGAGUCUGCAACUCGACUCCAUGAAGUCGGAAUCGCUAGUAAUCGUAGAUCAGAAUGCUACGGUGAAUACGUUCCCGGGCCUUGUACACACCGCCCGUCACACCAUGGGAGUGGGUUGCAAAAGAAGUAGGUAGCUUAACCUUCGGGAGGGCGCUUACCACUUUGUGAUUCAUGACUGGGGUGAAGUCGUAACAAGGUAACCGUAGGGGAACCUGCGGUUGGAUCACCUCCUU
rnacentral:rRNA from 1 species